rnacentral:rRNA from 1 species
GACGAACGCUGGCGGCGUGCUUAACACAUGCAAGUCGAACGGAAAGGCCCUGCUUUUGUGGGGUGCUCGAGUGGCGAACGGGGGAGUAACACGUGAGUAACCUGCCCUUGACUUUGGGAUAACUUCAGGAAACUGGGGCUAAUACCGGAUAGGAGCUCCUGCUGCAUGGUGGGGGUUGGAAAGUUUCGGCGGUUGGGGAUGGACUCGCGGCUUAUCAGCUUGUUGGUGGGGUAGUGGCUUACCAAGGCUUUGACGGGUAGCCGGCCUGAGAGGGUGACCGGCCACAUUGGGACUGAGAUACGGCCCAGACUCCUACGGGAGGCAGCAGUGGGGAAUAUUGCCCAAUGGGCGGAAGCCUGAUGCAGCGACGCCGCGUGCGGGAUGACGGCCUUCGGGUUGUAAACCGCUUUCGCCUGUGACGAAGCGUGAGUGACGGUAAUGGGUAAAGAAGCACCGGCUAACUACGUG